rnacentral:rRNA from 1 species
UACGUAGGGGGCAAGCGUUAUCCGGAAUUACUGGGUGUAAAGGGAGCGUAGACGGCGAUGCAAGUCUGAAGUGAAAGGCGGGGGCCCAACCCCCGGACUGCUUUGGAAACUGUAUAGCUGGAGUGCAGGAGAGGUAAGCGGAAUUCCUAGUGUAGCGGUGAAAUGCGUAGAUAUCACGCAGAACCCCGAUUGCGAAGGCAGCAUGCCGGCUUCCUACUGACGCUGAAGCACGAAAGCGUGGGGAUCGAACAGG